rnacentral:lncRNA from 1 species
AAUAAUACUCUUAGAACUAAUUAAAAUAUUAAAUCCCGUAAUUAAUAUGCCCACCCAUUCAUCCAAAACCUUAGGAAGCCCCAAAUCAUCACCCCCAACACCAGUACCAAAAUCCUCGGCCCCAAAAUCCGCUACCUCUGCUACCUCUCCUCCUAUCAAGUCAUCUAAUCCAGCAAAGUCAUCUGCCUUAAGAUUUUGUUCUCAUUUUUCAGUUUAAGUUUGAGAAAAUUGAUACAUUUAAAUUGGGGUGAUGAAGGAGUAAUCACUUUGUUUUGGAAACUCUCGAAGCUUCUUCAACUGGUAGAGUUUAUUGAUUUUUUUAUUCAUUUGCUUUUCCUGAUUAUCUCAACUAUGCAUACUAUGGGUAUGGUGGUGUUAUCAUUUUGGAACCCCAACCACCGAGCUUAUAUCAUAUUAAUCGGCUUGUGUCCGAGGUAUAAAUUUAUCGUGUACAUGUCUUGAAUCACACAAAAAUGAUCAUUUAGAAAGUUUAAAUGGUGAAUGUGUGUACUAAUGAUAAUUCAUUAACCAGUAUGUUAUUUAUUGAACUCUUUUAGAAAUAGUUUGACCUAAAAAUAUUUUGUUUGUUAAAGCUUUAUUGUUUAAGACGAUCUUUUCAUAUUAUGUUGACAGUAACAGCUAAUUAUAAAACUAUUAUGAUACCUCCAAAAGAUUUUCAGAAUAUACUUCUAGACAAGGUUAAUCUGGUUUCAAAGUAUAUUGAAGCUGGAAGGUAUGAAUCAGCAGGAGCAUUUUCACAAUCAGCAAGAUGCAGGCCAGGAUGGACAGAUGACAAUGCAGCAACAGAAGAAUAAUCUAGAAGAUGAUUAGUUAGAUUUUUGGUUAUUUUUCAACUUGUAUUUAUUCUGUUUUCUGUGUAAAUUAGUUGGAAAAAGAUUCCUUUAUUGCUGUAUAUAUAUAGGAUCUCAAUUGUAUACUUAACACACGAAUGAAUGAAUAUAUUUUCAACUUUCUCUCAAUUCAUCAAUAUCAAAAUUUUAUCUUUCCAAAAUCAACAUGGUAUCAGAGCUUGAAAAAAUGGAGGAAUCUAAUUCAGGAAAUAUAAACCUCCUGCAGUCCUAAACACUAAUCCAAAUUGUAGCCAAAAUCUACAGCAAACUGAUGAAAGGAAUUCAAGUGUUCUUUCUCAUGAUC